GGAGCACUGAAAAAAUGUCAAUUAGCUAUAAAAGUUCCACAAACAAGCAUUAUGUCUUCCUCUUACGAGUCCCUGGGUGCAGCUCAAAAUUGAGCAAUAAUGUCCACAGUUAAAAAUGGCUGUUGGGGGCCCCAGCACUCUCUUUUCCCAUUAAUAAUUGCUUGGCGCGGGUGCUGGCGUCACUGCAUGUGCCCGGUGGAGCCCAGGCAACCGAAGGGUGUGUCAGCUAAGAAGAGCGACAGCUCCCAUCACAAUCACGGCGCGGAGGAGUGACCCCGAGUCCCUCCAUGCUCAUCCCGCGUGGCAAGUUAAUCCUCGGGGGAAUGGGGACUUGAGCCACGUCUCGUCUGACGGCCGGUUAGUCUUGCAGCUGUGCAAGCGCCGGCCGCCGCUUCCUGCCCACGUCUCAGAAUCACAUCAGGAUUGCUCUGGCUCCGAGGGAGAAUAAGGGAACAGUCCGCCUUCUGGUGUCACUCUCUGUGAUUGUCCAGGCGCCAGCCCACAUGGCCUUUAUUUAUAGAAUGCAUGCUGUCCUCUAGGCUAGAAGGCAAAGCAAGUCUCUUCCACAAGUGAAACCAGGCACGUGGGGCCAGUGGAUGUGGCCUGUCUUGACAUGUGAAGUGUACUGAAACCUUAUUUAUGAAAACAGGCAGCUGGCCCAAGCGCUGUGGUUUGUCAGUUUGAUUUUUUUUUUUAAUGUUGCAUUACAAUAUUAUUUAUCUUGACUAUUGAGGUUUUUGACACCCCCUUAAAUCUUGUGCCUGCGGUCAGUGACUUACUCUCUUCACCCCACUCCCAGCUCUGCCUUUUAGCCAGAGAACAAGUGGAUGUGGGUCCUGCUACAAGAGCUUGCCUGUGUGUUUCGAGGAAAGGACUAUCCCGUUUAGCAGAGUUGGGGAAGAAAAAUCCAACAGUGCUGUGCAUGGAAGUGGCAUCUGGAAAGAGCACGAGGACAGAGCCUGGUUUCAAUUCUUGCUCUGUGGCUGUGUGACCUUCAGCAAAUCAUCCAACUUCUCUGAGCCUCAGGCUUUUCAUCUACAAAGCUGAAAUAAUAAUAUCAACCUUGGAGUAUGGCUGUGAAGAUUAAAUGAGAUAUGUAUAUCAAGUGGCUGGCACUUGAUAAAUGGCGCUUUGCCAAAUGUUUGCAGAGCGAAUAAUCAAUGCCAAAAAUGUUGGUCGAAGGACGGGAGGAUUUUAUAUGGUCAGAUUGCCUUCAGCUGGACCUUUUUUGUCAUUUCAUAUUCUACAUCAACUUUUCAUGAUUUCUGCCUACGUUUAUGUUCUAUGCUAGACCCAAGGACAGAGGAUGAUCUGACCGCUUCCCAGGACGCUCGAGUCACCCAAGUGAUCCAGUUGGCUCACCUGCUGCUGAAAUGAAAAACAAUUUUCCCGGAGAGCAACCUGGGCAGGUGACCUUACAGCACCAGAGCCACUGCGCUGAUCACCGUCCACUGAAAUCAUUGGCUGAGAUGUAAGGACGCCCUGCUUUGUCCACAAAGCCUUUUCAGAGCACAAUGUGGUCCUGUAUCCAAUUUCCCCUGGGCUCUCAGGAAGCACUGGCUCGUAAAGGGCCUUUGGUUUGUGAUUUCUUAAGAGAAUCUCCUUUGAAGCCAAAGAUAUGUCUGUUUUGGUUGAGUCCAGAUUCUCUCUGAGGAAUAAAAAGACCAGCACAUA